rnacentral:rRNA from 1 species
AAUAGAUACCGGGUAGUCCUAGCCGUAAACGAUGAGCACUGGAUUGGAGGGUCCUCCAUAGCCCUCCAGUCGCAACGAAAGCGUUAAGUGCUCCGCCUGGGGAGUAUGGUCGCAAGGAUGAAACUCAAAGGAAUUGACGGGGGCUCACACAAGCGGUGGAGGAUGUGGCUUAAUUCGAGGCUACGCGAAGAACCUUAUCCUAGUCUUGACAUGCACGGAUUAACUCCUGGAAACAGGAGCCAGGCCUUCGGGUACAACGUGCACAGGUGCUGCAUGGCUGUCGUCAGCUCGUGUCGUGAGAUGUCGGGUUAAGUCCCUUAACGAGCGAAACCCUUGUCACUAGUUGCCAGCGCGUCAUGGCGGGGACUCUAGUGAGACUGCCGGUGUUAAACCGGAGGAAGGUGGGGAUGACGUCAAGUCCUCAUGGCCUUUAUGACUAGGGCUGCACACGUCCUACAAUGCCACGCACAAAGGGAAGCAAACUCGUGAGAGCAAGCAAAUCUCAAAAAACCGUGGCCCAGUUCGGAUUG